AACGCAUAGACCUGACCUGUUGCCUUCACUGGCAGACUCUGUGCUGUUGAUUGACAGGUGUCCAGGGCUGAUAUGCUUAGACAUGCUACCCCUGCAUUAACCCCAAGCCUGCCACCCUUCCCCCCUCUCUUUGGAUUCAGGGAUGUUUCGGUGGAUAUUGAGCCACCAGCUGUUCAUGAUGUGCUCGCCUCACCUCACGUCUCUGGAGGUUGCAGGCUGGCCAGACGCUUGUAAUUAAAAGCGCAUAAAAACAGAUCAAGCCCCUUCCUUCUCCUCCCAUCGAGGAUCUCAUAGAGCUGCUGAGGAUUUGCUGGAUUCUCUUGAUCAACAAGCUCCAGAGAGGAGAAUUCUUGUUAUGCAGGAGCAUCUCUCGUGAUGUGAUAUACAGCAAUCAGAAGCAAUCACCAGCUCACCCCCAGAUUGUUUCCUCUAGUUUUGGCUGUUCCUGAAGAAUCACUUCCUGCCAAACCGUCAAUCUGUAAUAGAAAGACACACAGAGAAAAUAAAAAAUCCCAUUUGAGGACUUUGACAAGGCAAAACCACAAAUAAAUCUGCCCAGUUUGCAUAUA